CGAUGCACGACUGCUGCAGAUGCGAUGCAGAUGGCUGAGUUUACUACCCAAUGAACGUUGGACGCGGACUUCAGCAUCGCAUCUGAAGAAGUCGUCAGUCGUCUCAACGACAUGUCUCGUGGUCUUGCUGAUCUGUUCGUAGAUGAGGUGAGUACAUGGGUGGCCGAUCAUGGCUGUGAAGAAUACUCUUCGCUUUUUGAAGAAAACAAGAUUGAUGGCCAAGCUCCUAAUCCAUCUUACGAUCGCGGAGAUGAAUGAGAUGAUAAGUCCACUAGGUGUGCGGGUGAAGCUUGCUGCUCUUAUAAAGAAGGAUCAAGCCACUGACACCUUGAUCAAAUGAAAGCCACGGGGCUGGCUUGUGGGAGCUUGGGCAGGAAUGACUCGUCACACGAACAGGCAGCAACGGACUGACGUCUCAAUGCGUUGCUGAAUCGCCGGAGUAUUUCAUUUCUUGGGCAGGUUCAUCUCAGGCAGCAAGCUCACGUGAAGUGAGAGAUGGAAUUUCCAUACCAUCAUUUCCACCAUUUGUCAUGGUGCAACUGGGGGAAAGGAACAGCAUUCUAUGCAAGCCCCAGUAAAGAGGACUGUCAGAACAUAGCAGGAAACCUUAUUGCAAAGUAUUCUUUUCUUAGAGACAUGAAUGGUUCUGGAUAUGGAUCGUGGUCACAAGCUAUUAGAAUGAGAACCAAGAGCAUCCAUAGGAAACAUGGUGGCCAGAAACCUUCAAGCAGUUGCUGUCAACCAAGACAGCUAAGAUACUUGGGGGAAGUGGUAAGAAACAUGCUAUGCCACUUGUUGUCACAACAGCACCAGAUGCUAUAGCUCUUGACCUGAAUGAGAAGAAACUUCGAGAAGAACUGUUGAAGGCUAAUCCAAAGAAGGAAGUUCUCAGAGAGUUCUUUGAGUUGACCUACGUGAGAUGAAGAUCAUACAUUUUGGAAGAAGCACCAUCAAUUGUCGACAUUUUUCAAUCACAUCCAUUGUUCAAGAGACCAGCUUCUGUAAGAAGUCUUACAUUGUAUGUUUUGUUAAAUGCUCUUGGUGCAUAGGACUUAGUAGUAGUGUGUGUUUUUUUGUGGGUUUUUGCAAAGGUUCUGUGGGUUAGAAAACCCACA